rnacentral:ncRNA from 23 species
UGGCAGUGUGGUUAGCUGGUUG